rnacentral:lncRNA from 1 species
CAGAGAGGCGGAAGAGGAGGCCUGAUGGGGCCUUUACUCUGCUUGUCAUUGAGCUGAUGACCAAGAUCCAGCCUAGAGCACAAGAAGACAAACGCUGCGUGAUCUCGUGUGUAGAACCUAACAAAGUGGAACUCACAGAAGCAGAGAGUAGAAUGGUGGUUGCCUGUUGGAAUGGGGAGAUGGUCAGAGAAUGCAAACUUUCAGUUGGAUGAGAGGAAGAAGUUCCAGAGAUCCAUUGUGCCACAUGGUGACAAUAGUUAAUAACAAUGUACUGGGCGGUGGGGGGUGGCUUACGCCUGUAAUCCCAGCACUUUGGGAAGCUGAGGCAGACAGAUCACUUGAGGUCAGGAGUUCUAGACCAGCUUGUCCAACAUGGUGAAACCCUGUUUCUACUAAAACUACAAAAUUAGCCAGGUGUGGUGGUGUGCGCCUGUAAUCUCAGCUACUUGGGAGGCUGAAUCGCUUGAACCCAGGAGGUGAAGGUUGCAGUGAGUCGAGACUGCGCCACUGCCCUCCAGCCUGGGUGACACAGUGAGACUCUGUUUCAAAAAAACAAAAAAAAGCAAUGUACUGUAUACUUGAAAAUUGCUCACAGGGAUUUUAAAUGUUCUCACCAUUACAAAAUGAUAAAUAUGUGACAUAAUGCAUAUGUUAAUUAGCCCGAUUUAGUGAUUCCACAGUGUAUACAUAUAACAAAACAUGUUGUACACCAUAAAUGUAUACUAUUUUUAUUUGCCAAUUAAAUAUUUUUUUUUAAAGUUUUAGCCUGCAGGUUUAGCUUUUUGGGGCUGAAGC